rnacentral:tRNA from 1 species
UGAGUAUAAGCUCUGUGAAGCAUUUGGUUGUUAACCAAAGAGGGAUAAGUAAGUUAUAUGCUC